AACAUUGACUUCAGCUUGCCCUAACACUAUUCAACCAAACCUCCCUUUCCUCCUUCGUUCUCUGCCUCCGACAAAAACCAUCCUCCUCUUCGUUCUCCGCCUCCGAGCACAAUCCUCCUCCUCAUCUCCGUUCUCCAGCUACAAUCACAACCCGACCCUCCUCGUCCUCCUCCUUUUCCACCUCGGACCAGCUCCUCUGCUCAAAGACGGUGAAGAGAAUCAGCCUCUUCGUUCUCUGCCUCCGACCACAACCCUCCUCCUCGUCUUCAUUCUCCAGCUACAAUCACAACCCGACUCGCCUCGUCCUCCUCCUUUUCAGGCUCGGACCAGCUCCUCUGCUCGAAGACGGUGAAGAGAAUCAGAGAUCGAGGCCGACCUUGUGGAGAAAAUUUGAGCUUUUUGUCAUAGGAUUUGUCUUUCAUCUACCAAAGCUUUGUGGGCUGCAUUAGAGCUUUCUGGGCAUUCAUGUUCUGAGCUUUCUGGGCAUUCUCCAUAUAUAUCUGAGGAGGCUUCGAACUGUGUUAUCUAGUCAUGAAGGUUUUUAUAGCCAGGGCUUUGAUGUUACUGUACUUGAAAAUGAUAGUCUUGAUGAUGUUAUUGGUAUCCCUACAGGAAUAUAUUCAGCCUUGUUGAUGAGCUGGAGAUUAAACCCUUCACUAACUGGACUAAGUUUGCACAAUAUUCAGCUGAGGGAUUGGAGGUUGAAUUUCUGGUAUUUCGAGACCCUCCUCAAUUGCCAACUCCAUUAGGAACCUCAUACUAUUCAUAGUUUGUUCAGUUUCUGUUGGUUGAUAGAUUAACUUCACUUCUUUUAACGGCUGCAGUAAUCGACUUUGACAAUGCUGAUACCGCCUGGAGAAAAUAUGACUCAAAAGUUAUUAAGAGGUUUUACUGGUAGUUACUUCAAGGGAGCUCUUUACGCAGUUUGGCUGCUCACAAAAGCUUUAUCAGAAAGUCCUAGCACCAUUGCUUCAAGUGGGUCUGUUUGCACCAGCAGAACAAUGUAGUGUUGCUGCUACUCUGGGCUUGCUAUCCUACAUCCUUGCUUACCAGAAAGAUUUUGAUCUAGUGUUGUGUCGUGGAACAACUAGGGAAAAGAUUUUUAAGCCGUGGAUGGAGUCUAUGACAACCAAAGGUUGCAAGUUUGAGAAAGGUCUAAGUGUAACAGACCUUUUGUUUAAUGAGGAAACUGGCCAAAUAGCUUGAGUUUUGACAAACUGAACUGAUACAUUAUCUUUGAUAGUUUGUCUUUCGGUUCUCACUUUUCUUCAAAACUAUAUAUGAGUUUGGAUGUACUUAUCUAAUUGGACUAUCACGUGUAUAAAUUAUUUCAGAAACUACAUACAGUUUCCAGACCCAGCGACCUAUUUCUGUAAAACUGUAAUUUUUUGU